GUCCACGCCGUAAACGAUGUCAACUAGCCGUUGGAAUCCUUGAGAUUUAGUGGCGCAGCUAACGCAUUAAGUUGACCGCCUGGGAGUACGGCCGCAAGGUUAAACUCAAAUGAAUUGACGGGGCCCGCACAAGCGGUGGAGCAUGUGGUUAAUUCGAAGCAACGCGAAGAACCUUACCAGGCCUUGACAUGCAGAGAACUUUCCAGAGAUGGAUUGGUGCCUUCGGGAACUCUGACACAGGUGCUGCAAUGGCUGUCGU
rnacentral:rRNA from 1 species